CAAUAGCGUAUAUUAAAGUUGUUGCGGUUAAAAAGUUCGUAGUUGGAUUUCUGCCAAGGACGACCGGUCCGCCCUCUGGGUGAGUAUCUGGCUUGGCCUCGGCAUCUUCUUGGAGAACGUUGCUGCACUUCGCUGUGUGGCGCGGUAUCCAGGACCUUUACUUUGAGGAAAUUAGAGUGUUUCAAGCAGGCAUCCGCCUUGAAUACAUUAGCAUGGAAUAAUAAGAUAGGACCUCGGUUCUAUUUUGUUGGUUUCUAGAGCUGGGGUAAUGAUUAAUAGGGAUAGUUGGGGGCAUUCGUAUUUAACUGUCAGAGGUGAAAUUCUUGGAUUUGUUAAAGACGGACUACUGCGAANGNAUUUGGNAAGGAUGUUUNCAUUG
rnacentral:rRNA from 1 species